rnacentral:rRNA from 1 species
CACGUAGGGCGCGAGCGUUGUCCGGAAUUAUUGGGCGUAAAGAGCUCGUAGGCGGCCUGUUGCGUCCGCUGUGAAAGCCCGGGGCUUAACCCCGGGUCGGCAGUGGAUACGGGCAGGCUAGAGGUAGGUAGGGGAGAAUGGAAUUCCCGGUGUAGCGGUGAAAUGCGCAGAUAUCGGGAGGAACACCGUGGCGAAGGCGGGUCUCUGGGCCGAUACUGACGCUGAGGAGCGAAAGCGUGGGGAGCGAACAGG